UGUGCACUCAGAGUACUCGGCCAGCCCCCUCCCACAAGUCGCCUGUUUGAUAACGAGCGGAAAAACGCUGAAUGCACAGAAAAUCAACAACUUUUCUGGAACCUGUUAAAGAAUUGAACUCAUGGGACAAAUGGCCACUUCAAAACCUGGGGACCAGUGACUACUGAGAAAGACAACUGACAUCAGCUUAGCUGGGGCAGAAACCGUAGAAACACUUACAUGGUGAACCCAGAAGAAGCCAGAGGGCCGGGGAGCAGCCCACAUAGGACACAGAGCCAGGCCAGGGAAAAAGAGGGCAACGCCUCGUGCUGGAGAGACUUUGGGGGAAAGCGCAUCGCUUCAGCUCACAGUGCAUUCAUAUCUUUGAACACAAGAUGUAUGAGGGGCAGUAGCUAUUUCUCACCACUCCCUGGAUUUUGAGGAUAAACAAGAUAAGGGGGACAUUUCUUAGAUAUUAGUGGUCAAAUGGAUAAGGCCUUUGCCUGAGGACUUCAUCAUAAAAAUCCAUUUCUUGAUGAAAGGCACUUACAAAGACCAGCCUCCUGAAAUACCACAUGACAAAUUCACAGAACUCUUUGGUUUUGCGAUUCCUUGCAUCUACUCAUCCAUGGGGAAGAAACGUGCACAUUCAAAAGCAGCUCCUGGCCACCGUGCUCCAUGCUCCAAACCCUGUGUGUGGCUUUUGUGGCAGUGCCACGUCAUGGGCCGUCAGGGACACAGUUAUUCUUCCUCACGAGGGAGUGCUGAGGACCACUGACCGCUGUGAACCCUUUUCCCAGCCAGCAGGCUUCGUUUUCCCUUUAUGUGAUUUUCUGUCAUGAUAAAGACAGAGUUUUCACCUUGUUGCAGAACAAUUAGCACCAUGACUUUGUUUCACAAAUUACAGAACUAAUAGAAAUUUGAGCAGGUUUUUUUUUUUUUUCCAUCUCUGCCUUGUUUCAUGCUGCUUUACCUAUCAUCCCUGGGGCCUCAAGGAGCCAUAUUAUGAUCAUAUAGAUCCUGGAGCCCGUCGGACUUUGUCUUCUAGCUCAAGUGUUGCUGAAGACUCCAGUGCAGGGAAGGGAGAUGGGUGCAGGUGUAAUCAGAGAGACAGGCUGUUUCUGUAAUUUGUGAGAACUGUCAGAUAUAUAAUUAUAAAUAUAAGGUGCAAGAAGAUGAGAUUAAGAUGCUAUUUGGGGAAAAAGAAAAUCCAGUUAAGGUAUCCCCAGUUUCCAAAGGGAAUAUAUAUUGCCAGAGUAAAAUAAUGGGCAAGAAGGCAGUUUUCAUUAUGCUGUGGCCUUGGCCCCAAACACAAUGCAGAACUCCAUUGCACAGAGACAUAACCUGCCUGCACCAAGGGCAGGCUUAGGAUCUCUUACCAGUGCAGUUUUGAGGGGAGGGAAUCACUGGGAUUCCCUCCCUUGAGUCUCAGAUCUCCCUGCUUGAAUGGCAAGGGUCUGAGGCAACUCUAGCACCAGCUGCAGCCGCUGUGAGGCUCACUCUUCCCACUGUCUCAGUACAGCGAAAUGGUUCUAAAAAGAGAGAAGGCAGCCAAAUGAAACAGAGACGCCUGGGUUUUUGGCGUGUCUCUGCCUUGCCUCUCAGGAUUAUGGAAAAACAGCGUCAGAAGGCAGAAUGGAUAUUUAUGCAUACAAUCUCUAACUCUUUUGAAAGAUAGGCACCCAAGGGCAAUAGUCAGAUUCAUAGAAAAACUCCUCCCCCGUGAAGAUGAGCUGAGCACAGGGUCUGCAAAACAACGUACGUGUAGGUAAGCUCGUCACCAAUUUUACUCAUGUAACGUAGAGCAUUCCGUUUAUAAAUAAUAAUAAAAUAUACAAUACUUUGGUUAUGAAUUCUGUAUCAGCAAUUGAUUCUUCCAGAAACUUUCAUUGAUUUUUGCCAGACUCCUGUAUCCAUAGCCAAACUAUGAUUGUAACUGAUGAAUGAGUGUAGUUCCGACAUGAAUGUUGAUUCAUAUUUUCAUUCACAUUAACACGUAAGAUGGAAAUAAAACAGGGAUGUAUGUCAGAUCUUCACUCAUUUGUCAAUGAAGCGAAUGACUUUGCUAAAUACUAUCAGAAUGUAAUUUUUGAACACUAUAAGACUAAAUCAUCAAUUUUUGUCCUAUUCACAAUAUAACAGCUACAGACACAUUUUGACUCUAACCUGCAUUAUUAACUUCUUUUCCAUCACUUUGUUAGACGCAAACAAUAAACACAAUGAUAAAUCAAGCUUUGAGUUACUUCAUUUGAUGAUUUCCA